AUAAGGCAGCCGCCUCGCUGACUAAUACUACUGAACCAUCGAUCAAAUAUAAAUAUUAGUGGUCAAGUUAGUUGCCAUCAAAAAUAUGAGCCUUUGAUUAUAUAUAUGAUCGUCGUACAGGCAGGAGAAUGACUGGCCGGCCAAUAUAUAGACCAUAAUAUAACUUUAAUUUUAUUUUUUAAUGAUAAUUCAAAAAGAAAAAGAAGAUAAACUUACAUCUUGAGGAUUCUGAUGAUAAUAAUUGUCCAUAUGAUCAAUUGCAUAUAUAGCAAGGCCCGGUUAGUUUCAACCUUCAGUUAAACCUUCUUUGAAAAACUAUGAGUGGAUCAUUCGUUUUAAAGACUGGGAAGAAGAAGAUGACGACGACGAUGAUAUAAGAUUAGCUGGCUGCUUUCGAUCAAAACCUUUUUUGGGUUCAUUUUUAGGUUUUGGAGAAGAUGAUGGUAAAGGAACAGAUUAAGGCUUCAAAAAAACUUAUGUCUUACUAGCUAGCUAAGGCAGCUAACAAUGGAAGAAAAAGAUAUAUGUUGAAGAUAUAUAAUAAAUAUUGAAGAUCGAUCUAGAUUCUAAAGACCGGAGUUGUUUAACAUGAUCUCCGAGUUGAAGGUGGUCUUGCUUCGAUGCUAGCUUCCAAAGAACACAUAUGGAAGGAAGCUGCAACGAUGAAGCUGAGGGUGUGUGAAGAUACCGGCCUCCAUCAUUUAAAGAUACAUAAAUAUUCAGACUUUUGGCAAUAUUACGAGCAUAGUACCCGUGCAAUACGGCAGCAGUGGUAGGGAAGGCGGUAUCUAGUGGUGACUGUGAUGGUACUAUUGGUGGUGAUGGCGGUGUCAAAUGGUGUAGGUUGAUGUAAUUAUGAUAGUGAAAAUUUUUAGAAG